UGGGGAAUAUUGUGCAAUGGGGGAAACCCUGACACAGCGACGCCGCGUGAGCGAAGAAGGCCUUCGGGUCGUAAAGCUCUGUCUAGGGGGACGAUAAUGACGGUACCAUACGAAAGCCCCGGCUAACUACGUGCCAGCAGCCGCGGUAAUACGUAGGGGGCGAGCGUUGUCCGGAAUUACUGGGCGUAAAGAGCACGUAGGCGGCUAUAAAAGUCAGAUGUGAAAAACCUGGGCUCAACCGAGGGUAUGCAUCUGAAACUAAAUAGCUUGAGUCAAGGAGAGGAGAGCGGAAUUCCUGGUGUAGCGGUGAAAUGCGUAGAGAUCAGGAAGAAUACCAGUGGCG
rnacentral:rRNA from 1 species